ensembl:snRNA U6 U6 spliceosomal RNA
GUGCUUUGGUAGCACAUAUCCUAAAAUUCAAACAAUACAGAAACCAUUAACAUGGCUCUUGUGCAAGGGUAACCUGCAAAUUCAUGAAGCAUUCUAUAUUUUC